rnacentral:lncRNA from 1 species
GGGAAGUGGGCAUUCUGGGCCACUUUUUCUAAUGUUAACCCUAUGGGGAAAAGGUAGCCUCCUAAGAGGUAGCCUCCCGAUGUGAGGCUAAUUUUUAUGACGUCAUUUUAAGUAUUACGACAUUAAUUAAUUAAUUUCUUUGGAUAAGGUCAUUAUUAAGUGUUACUAAUUACGGCUAAUUAAUUGGCGUUAUUGAAUAAGUAUAUAUAUAUAUAUAUAUAUAUUCUAUAUAUUUGAUGAAAAUUCCCAGUCUAUUAAUAGGUACACAGGAAAACCCCACCUUAGUGUGUAUUUACAAAUCAUUA